CGCAUCUGUGCAUGCAGCAUAUCAAUAAGCGGAGGAAAAGAAACUAACAAGGAUUCCCCUAGUAACGGCGAGUGAAGCGGGAAGAGCUCAAAUUUGAAAUCUUAAAGGGUUUCCCUUUACGAAUUGUAGUUUAAAGAAGUGCUUUCUGUUGAGGUUCUGGUAAAAGUUCUUUGGAAUAGGACAUCAUAGAGGGUGAGAAUCCCGUAUUUGACCUUUACUUUCAACUUUGUGAUACACUUUCAAAGAGUCGGAUUGUUUGGGAAUGCAGUCCAAAAUGGGUGGUAAAUUUCAUCUAAAGCUAAAUAUUGGCGAGAGACCGAUAGCGAACAAGUACCGUGAGGGAAAGAUGAAAAGAACUUUGAAAAGAGAGUUAAACAGUACGUGAAAUUGUCAAAAGGGAAGCGUUUGACACCAGUGUUGUUUUUCUGAAAAUCAAUUAAAGAACUGUUUAUGCUAAGCUGUUUAGACUUUAUCAGCUAACUGUUUAGUUUUGAGCUUUUCUUUAAUGCACUUUUCAGUUAACAAGUCAACAUCAAUUUCUUUUGCUGUAAAAAAGCUUGAGGAAGGUGGCUUGAGAUUCGUCUUAAGUGUUUAUAGCCUCUUGCCUAUGCAGUCGGAGAGAUUGAGGUCUGCAGCGUAGAUCCUUCGGGGCUAAAUGCAUUUGUGCUAAGUUAUAGCAUUUUAUAGACAACUUGUUGACUAUGAUUUGUCUUGUAGCUUACUCGCUUAUGUUAUUUUACCUACGCUUAGGAUGUUGAAUCUGUGCGAGACUAC
rnacentral:rRNA from 1 species